rnacentral:rRNA from 1 species
GACGAACGCUGGCGGCAUGCCUAACACAUGCAAGUCGAACGAAGCUUUCGGGCUUAGUGGCGCACGGGUGCGUAACGCGUGGGAAUCUGCCCUUUGGUUCGGAAUAACAGUUGGAAACGACUGCUAAUACCGGAUGAUGACGAAAGUCCAAAGAUUUAUCGCCAGAGGAUGAGCCCGCGUAGGAUUAGCUAGUUGGUGUGGUAAAGGCGCACCAAGGCGACGAUCCUUAGCUGGUCUGAGAGGAAGAUCAGCCACACUGGGACUGAGACACGGCCCAGACUCCUACGGGAGGCAGCAGUGGGGAAUAUUGGACAAUGGGCGAAAGCCUGAUCCAGCAAUGCCGCGUGAGUGAUGAAGGCCCUAGGGUUGUAAAGCUCUUUUACCCGGGAUGAUAAUGACAGUACCGGGAGAAUAAGCCCCGGCUAACUCCGUGCCAGCCGCCGCCGUAA